rnacentral:rRNA from 1 species
CCUACGGGUGGCAGCAGUGAGGAAUAUUGGUCAAUGGACGCAAGUCUGAACCAGCCAUGCCGCGUGCAGGAAGACGGCUCUAUGAGUUGUAAACUGCUUUUGUACGAGGGUAAACGCAGAUACGCGUAUCUGUAUGAAAGUAUAGUACGAAUAAGGAUCGGCUAACUCCGUGCCAGCAGCCGCGGUAAUACGGAGGAUUCAAGCGUUAUCCGGAUUUAUUGGGUUUAAAGGGUGCGUAGGCGGUCGGAUAAGUUAGAGGUGAAAUCCCGAGGCUCAACUUCGGAAUUGCCUCUGAUACUGUUCGGAUAGAGAGUAGUUGCGGUAGGCGGAAUGUAUGGUGUAGCGGUGAAAUGCUUAGAGAUCAUACAGAACACCGAUUGCGAAGGCAGCUUACCAAGCUACUUCUGACGUUGAGGCACGAAAGCGUGGGGAGCAAACAGGAUUAGAUACCCUUGUAGUC